GCAGCAGUGGGGAAUAUUGGACAAUGGGCGCAAGCCUGAUCCAGCAAUGUCGCGUGUGUGAUGAAGGCUUUUAAGGCUGUAAAACACUUUUUUUAAAGAAUAAAAAAUUUUAACUAAUAAUUAAAAUUAAUGAAUGUAUUUAAAGAAUAAGUACCGGCUAAUCACGUGCCAGCAGCCGCGGUAAGACGUGAGGUGCUAGCGUUAAUCAGAAUAAUUGGGCGUAAAGUGUGUUCCGGCUGUUUAAAAAGAUUUAUAUUAAAUCUUUGAGUUCAACUCAAAAAAUGUAUAGAUUACUCUUAGACUUGAGUUUAAUAUAAGAAAAUGGAAUUUUGUGUGUAGCGGUGAAAUGUGCAGAUAUACAAAGGAACACCGAAGGCGAAAGCAUUUUUCUUGGUUAUAACUGACGCUUAUACACGAAAGCGUGGGUAGCAAACAGGAUUAGAUACCCUGGUAGUCCACGCCCUAAACUAUGUCGAUUAGCUGUUUUUUAGUAGCGAAGCUAACGCGUUAAAUCGAUCGCCUGGGGACUACGAUCGCAAGAUUAAAACUCAAAGGAAUUGACGGGGACCAGCACAAGCGGUGGAUGAUGUGGAUUAAUUCGAUGAUACACGAAAAACCUUACCUACUCUUGACAUGGUUAGAAUUUUAUUGAAAAAUAAAAGUGCUUGAAAAAGAACUAACACACAGGUGCUGCAUGGCUGUUGCCAGCUCGUGUCGUGAGAUGUUGGGUUAAGUCCCGCAACGAGCGCAACCCCCACUCUUAGUUGCUAAAGAUUUAUUAAGUACUUUAAGAGAACUGCCGACGAUAAGUCUAGGAGGAAGGAGGGGAAGACUUCAAGUCCUCAUGGCCCUUAUGAGUAGGGCUUCACACGUCAUACAAUGGUUGAUACAAAAAGUUGCAAAGUUGCAAAACAGAGCCAAUCUCAAAAAUCAAUCUUAGUUCGGAUUGUACUCUGCAACUCGAGUGCAUGAAGCUGGAAUCGCUAGUAAUCGCAGAUCAGCAUGCUGCGG
rnacentral:rRNA from 1 species